AGCGAACGUUAGCGGCGGGCCUAACACAUGCAAGUCGAACGCGAAAGGUCUUCGGACUGAGUAGAGUGGCGCACGGGUGAGUAACACGUAGGUAAUCUACCCUUUGGCGGGGAUAACGUUCCGAAAGGAGCGCUAAUACCGCAUAAGACCACGGAGUCUCCGGACGCUGUGGGAAAAGGUGGCCUCUUCUUGAAAGCUACCACCGAAGGAUGAGCCUGCGUCCCAUCAGCUAGUUGGUAAGGUAAUGGCUUACCAAGGCGAAGACGGGUAGCUGGUUUGAGAGAAUGAUCAGCCACACUGGCACUGGAACACGGGCCAGACUCCUACGGGAGGCAGCAGUGAGGAAUAUUGGGCAAUGGGCGAAUGCCUGACCCAGCCACGCCGCGUGAGUGAUGAAGGCCCUCGGGUCGUAAAGACUCUGUGGAGAGGGACGAAAACCCUGGUUUCAAAUAGGCUCCAGGCUUGACGGUACCUCUUUAGCAAAGCACCGGCUAACUCUGUGCCAGCAG
rnacentral:rRNA from 1 species